CCGCAUUAAUUGCGAUGGGUAUAUAAGGGGAAACCGUUCGUGGUUUCCCCUCACUUGUUCGAAAAUUCAAAAAAUUUGCCGUUUGAGAGAGAAACUGUUAUCUGUCUUCUCCGACUAUUUUUUUCUGAAAUUCCGGUGAGGUUGCUGGUUUUUCCGUUCACCAUCUUUCGUUUCUUGAAUAUUUUUGAUGGCUGAACCAUCGAAUCCACACAAUGUGGAGGGUGAAAACCCUGAACAGCCGGUAAUGGCUGAAGGAGAAGAAGAGGGGGUUGCCGGUGGUGGAUUACCGGCGUUGAAGUGGACCAAGAAGUCUUUUGACAAUCUUAUGCUUACUGUCCAAAUGCCCCCUGAAUAUGGGGCUCAGUAUCCAUCGGAGGGUGAUACUGGUGCCGACGCUCCGGCCGGUUAUGUGACCAUGUGGGCCGACUUUUUUGGUGACUGUAAUCUUCGGUUACCGUUGACGGUGUUUGUUGUGGAUGUCUUGGAGUGGUACAAGGUCCACAUUUCUCAAAUGAGUCCGCUUGGGAUGAUUCGGAUUCGUAAUUUUGAGUUCACCUUCCGUGCUCUUGGUAUAGAGCCUACCGUCGGAGAUUUCCGACGGUUUUAUCAGAUGACUGUAUCAUUGGGGUUCUUUUCUUUCCGUCAACGAGACGGUACCCCCAAGCUGAUGACUCCCCCCAAGGGGAUGACGAUGUGGAAAAAGAAAUUCUUCUACAUCAAAGCUGCUGCCAUUGUUGCAGAUAUGACGUUUCGGAAUGUGACCGAGACGAUCAUCGCGGAGACCAUUGCGGUCCCUAGCUCGAAGUCAGUGGAAUGGUUUCCUCAGUUGCAGACCAUUGAGACCGUGAAGCUGACCAAUACGCAACUAUGGCUGUUGCGUAUGAUGCUGAGGAGGAGCAAGAACUCGAAACCCGUGGUGCGGGAGAAGAGCGGUGAAAAUGCUCCUGCAUGGAGGAUGUUUGCCCCGGAUUUCCUGGGUACGGUUGAGACCGUGGUUUGUGCGGAUGGUGAAGAGGAUCACAAUACUAUCAUCCGUAGUAACUUCCGGGUGCCUACUGAGGCUGCACUGGUAGUUGAGUUGCCGUCAGGCAAAGGUAUAAUAUCCAAGCUUUGUCACUUGUGUUGAUAAUGUUGGUUUAUUGACGUAUUGACUCCAUGCAGGUGAUCUUGGGGCCUUGGGGGACCCCGAAGCGAAAGGUGUGCCAAAGAGGCAAACUGUGAAGGGCGUGCGCUUUCGCCAAAAGAAGAUAAAGGAGGUCACUACUGUGCCUCAUCUGGUGCCGCAGGCAGCAGGUAUCUCUCACUACUCUUUUCGUCGACACAAGGAUUAUGUGAUAGUAUCUGAUACCCUUGAGGGUUUGGGUACAGCUGCGGUGUCGCGUUCUGGUGCUGCGAAGAGGCAGUCAGAAGAGACUUCCGCGGGAGGGACAGCUGCGGGUCCCCCUGCAGUUGGUGAGAAGAGAGGGCCAGAGCAGAAAGCUGCUGGUGGUGUUGAGAGCAAACGUCGGAGACUGGUGACCAAAAGGUCUGCUCCGACGCAGAAAAAACCUGCGGUUGUCGUUGGUAAGUGUAGGCUAUCUAGUCUUAACUGUUGUGUAACUAGUUUUGAUAGCUAUUUGACUGUUUUGCAGAGCCUCAAGAUGAAGAUUUUUCUAUCUUCGAUGCUCCGUAAUCCCCCCCGCGUGCCACGGGUGCGGGUGCAACGGAGGUGCCGUCGACACCUCCCGUCAAGGUGGUACCUGAGUCAACCGUGCAGAAGGAGGGUACCGCAGAGAAUGCUGCGGCCCAGAUAUUUGAUACUGUCGACUCGUCCAACAAUCUGAUCUCUCCCAAUGAGGGAGACGAUUUGAGUGUGCGGUUCACUGCUACUGGGAAGCAACAUUCUGAUGCUGAACCGCAAAAAACUGGCGCUGAAGCGCGGCAGCAUGAUGCUGAGCCGCAGAAGUCUUCGGUUGAUAAGGGUACCGGCUCGUCUGCCGGUGGUGCGGGGUAUGACGGGCCUCCAAUUCAGCCUGGGGAGUCUGAAUUGGAGUAUUACUACCGCACUUAUUCCCCGGGUCGCAGUAUGGUAUAUCACCGACCCCCCUGGACUGUUAUGCAGGGGGAUGAUAUUUCGAAUGAUCCUGCGGCCUGUAAGGAGAUUUUGGGUGGUCUGGGGACCCCCUUUGAAGUUGAGCGCGCCCGUGCCGCACCUCGAGAGUUGCGUAUAAACUAGCUCUCAACAAUGUUGGUAGGGACUUUCAUUGUGGCGAAUGCCAUUUUGGAAGACUAUAAAGUGCUGGGUCGGCGCGAGGAAGAUGCUGCUCGUAUGCGGGCAGAAGCGGAAAAGCUGGUCCAGGCUGCCCGUGCGGGUGCGGAGCAGCUAGAGAAAGACAAAGCUGCUUUUGAGAAGCAGAAGCAGACUGCUAAGUGGGCUGCCACUGCCCAGCUGAAACAGGUGCGUACCCUUGCUAAACUCCUUGCUGAUGAGCGCAAGAGUUGGAACGAAAAGUUGUCCAAUGAGCGCAAGAAAUGGAAUGAAUCUUGGGCUAAGCAGAAUAACGUUCUGUUUCAUACUCGGCAGGAGUUGGCGAAUGUCAAGGCGGCAAAUGUUGCCUUGGGCAGCGAGAAAGCUGCGGCUGAGGCCAUUUCUGUUAAAGCGCUGCAGGCGAAGGCCGACGCCUUGAAGGCGCUUGAAGAGGCCAAAGAAGCCGGGGCUCGUGCCUCAAAGGCCCUUGAAGAGGCCGCGGAGAAGGAGAGCCGUUCUUCCAAGGCUCUGGGAGAGGCGAAUGCGGAACGCAUUCGUUUGGAUAAGGUUGUUUCCAGCCUUCAGGCUGAGGUUCAGACCCGGGAGGUCGCGGUUACGGACCUUACUGCCCGCGUGUCUGGUGCGGAGAAGCGGGCGGACGCUGCUGCUGAGGCCAAGGAUGCCUUGGUGUCCUCUUUUAACCAACUGUAAGCUGACCGUGAGUGGUUGCGGACUCACGGCAUCGCGCGUAUUGUCGAGGCUAUAAUGAAUGCCCCUGAGACCUCAUCUGGAUUGGACCUGGUCAAGGAACGUGCGCGCGAUGCUGGCUUCAAGGCUGGUUAUAACCGCUGCAUUGGGCAUAUCAAUGUAUUAUCCGCAGGCGGUUAUACUGAUCAGGCAUCCGGGUUCCGUGAUGUGGAUACCGAAGGUCGUCUGAAAGCGGCCGUAGCCUCCUUUUAUGAUACGCCCCUUGCCUGUGUAGGGGAGCUGGACGAGUGUUUGGAGGUUGCGGACUAUGUUGACCGGUUGCGGAUGCUUUAUCCUGAUGUGGAAGAGGAAGAACCCGCUGGUGGUGCCGGAGGAGACGCGGGUACCAGCGGUACAAAAUAGGGUUUAGGUUGGCGAGUGUGCCUCCUUUUUGUAUUCCUCUUGUAUAGAAUAGGAACUUUAUGUAAAUUCAGUAAGCAUCAUGUGGAUACUCGAAUUUUUUGAAUAUAAAGUUUCUUUGUUCA